GGAAGGAGCAGCUGAAUAUAAAUGAAGCACCCAGGCAGCACAAACACUAACUGCAAGAGUGUUAUUCCAGCUAACACGGCAGACAGGAAUACACUGGUCAGUGUGUAUGCUUUCAAUCAAGAGACGGAAGUGUAAGACGAGCCAGAAGACGAGAAAGUUCCCACCACAAUGAGAGAGCCGAACACAUCUACAGACAAACGACUGGAGGCAAAGCACACGCACAGUGAACUAACACUUUCCUGGAUUCCAAGACCUCCAGAGAACCAGAUGGAUGAGAGGAACUGGGAAAAAGAACCCACACUGUUUGAAAAAGAAACUGGACUGUAGUUCAACACAUAGCUGCCUGCAAUAAUAACAUGAACUUCCUGCUGCUUUGCACCAAGGGGACUUGAGUAAGGGUAGAAUGAAGCACCCUUAGAAGUGAGGAGCAGGGUGUCAGCACAGCAGGAGUCCAGAACCUGCCCACAGUGCCCAGGGGCAUCUCCUUCCUCACCUCCACACCAACAGGGAAAUGAAGACGUCUAUUUUGUUUUCUACUCCUCCAGAUGAACCUGGUCUUCACAAAUGCAUGUACUUCAUGGUUUGAUUCCGGUUACUUAUUCCCCCUGUCUUCCUUUAGUUUCUAAUGUUCAUUACAAAGUCUGGAUGCAAAGAACCUCAGCAAUGUUUCAAAUCUUCCCUGAUUGACGGACAGCAUCAAGAAGAAAGGACAUACAGGAUCACACCUCUUUCCCGCUCAGGAGCCGCACUCGGUCUCCCUAUGGAGAAGCAGCGUUGGCACUGCUUGACACUCACCCAUUCUCUUUGGUUCAGUGUGCUCCCUAGAUUCCAGCCAAAGACUCUCCGCAGCUCUCUGGACUUGUCUUACGUGUUGCCCUCCUUAGUUGCUCCCUUAAUGGUAUUCUUCGCACUUAUAUCUGACGGGACAUUUUCAUACUCCAAUUAUGUGUGUCCUCUCCGCUGAGGAAUUUAGGAACAAGAAACCAUUUCUCCUCUUAAAUACUAUUUUAUUUUACUUCGAAUGGGGGGAGGUUGCGAGGGCAGAGGGUGGAUAUGAAAGGACGGGGAAAUGAAUAGGAUAGAGAUACAUAAUGUGAGAGAAACAAAGCAUAAAUAGAAAGGGUUUUAAUAGAAAGGGUUUUUUUUUAAAAAAAAGCAUGUUUUGCACAUAGAACUAUGCCCUUGUAACCUGUUUCACUGUAUUCUUGCUUUUGCCAGUGUUUAUCUCCACUGUCGUUUGAUCUUCUGGGGAUGGGGCCAUCACUUAAAUUAUCUUUUCAUUUCCAUAGCUAGCAAAGUGUCUGUCAUAAGCAGCAGGUAUGCAGUAAGCGACCUUUGACUCAUGAGGGAGUAAGUACAACACAAAGCGUUGAUUUUGUUGAGGUUAAUGGUGUGAAUCUUCAUCUCAUUUAGGAGACACUAAACCUCACGGGCAAAUGCAGCUUCAAAGGAAACAGGGACAUCUCGGUCAAUUGCUUGUCAUCAUCAGGCGUACAUGGCACGCACACAGAGAAGAAUCACCGAAGAACCUGUGAGGUGUCUUAAGAGAUGCUUGUCACUCAGUCAGGUCCAGACAAGGAGAACGAAUCACAGACACUCUAGAGAACUUGAAGAUAGGAUUAUUCUAAAUUUCUAGGUAAAUAUGUCUCUUAGAGGUGAAAAUGUGUUUUCUUGGGUAAUUUCUUUCAUAAUUCAGUACUGCAACUGUAAUUCAUACUUCUUCAAGUUCAAUGGAUUUUUAACUUCUCUCAAGCAUUUCCUAUUACCCCAAAACUCCCUUCUAGCUCUAGGAUUCCCAGGUCCUGGAUGCAUGCUCUCACUGUAGCAUCUCGACUCCACACACAGAGGAUGCUUUGGCAAUGUGGCUCAGUGGGCAUUCUCUCAAGCAGCAUUCUGAUUAUGCUGUUAUGAACUAUUUACUGCAAAAUGCUUUGGGUGAAGCCUUUAAAACACGGCUUUCUGGAUAGAAUCACUACUUGAAACUGUAUAAGACCAUAGUAGAGUGCGAGCCCUGGACAUCUGAGAAUGAAGUGCACACUUAUUUUAUAAGUGCCACAGUUAGUGCUGGAAGCUCUUCGUGACAGUAAAUAUUAAAGGACAUGGAUCUGAUGCUAUACAAAGUAGCACAAGUUGCAGCUCCCCAUUGAUUAUAUCAUCAACUCAGCAGUUUUUAAUCUUGCAUAUCACCAAUUUACAUGUAUUAUCUAACAAAUAGUAGAAGCUAAAAGCCUUAAUCAUCCUCAUUUUUAAGUCUGUGUUCUUUCUACUCCUGUGCAAAGAAAAUGUUAAAACAUAAAGUUCUCAAAAUUGAUGCAAAGUCUAUCUUUAAAACAAACAGGCAAAUAAAUAGCAUGGAAAACAUGUCCUCUGUGUUAAGAGUGUGUGACAGAGGCCUUUUAUUCUGUGAGAAGAGAUAUCAAAUACACCAAGUCUUAAAGUAGAAUGGACAUUGUCAAAUGACUUUUAGCCAACGCUAGUUGAAAUGCAAGGUAGGCCAGGCCAGAACAUUUCAGGACUUGGUAUAGAUUAUACGAUUCUAUAACAAACUAGAGGGAAAGCAAAGGAACUGAAGGCUUAAGUAGUGCCUGAGGCAGCAGCUCAAUGAGGAAGAAUAGACUCAUCACGUAAUUCUGAAGUAGGGCUACAAGUAAGUAAAGCAUAUUGACCACCAUUGGCUUCGUAAGUUCAUAGCAUCCUGAGAACUUGAAAAGAUAAAAAUUUAGGAACUGCCACUUUUUAAGUCUUCCUUGCCAUAUGCUCUUCAGACAUUUCUAGACUCCGAAUGUGGGGGAAAAAACCCUGCAGUGUGGGAAAGGAAAAGGAACCAAAGGCAUCAUAUUCAGUAAGAUGAUACUUGGGAUUCUUCGCCACAGAGAUAACAGAAGAUGGACUGUGGUAGCAACUGUGAAGGAUGUGGUGUUCCUAACCCAGGAGGGAAAUGUAGAGGACACCUGGAUCCCAGAGGGUAAAGACCUAAGGGAACACUCCAGUCCAGCCGGGUGAGUGUAUGAACACAGCAGCAGAGCUGGGGACAGGUAGUCUGUUACACUGCCAAGUCACUGCCUUUGGAGCCCAGGUCGUUCCCCAUUCCUCAUGCUCUACUUAAUUUUUCAUGACACCAGGGAAGGAAUAAAACUACAGGAGACAAAGGGCAAUGCUUAGUCUCAGGCAUUUAUGCCCAUAUUCAGUACUUGAGUUCCCAUGUUUUUCCUUAAGUAAAUUCACGAUAUAAUAAAAAUGGAAAAGAGUGGAGAAGAAUGGAUAACCUAAUUAUAGCACAGUGUGGAAUUUGGCAUAUUCAUAGAAUACUAGACAACAAAAAGAAACAGAUGGCUGAUACAGCAACAGGGAUGAAUGAAUCUCAGAAAGUGUACUCUGAAUGAGAAAAGGGAGAUUACCGAGAGAGGGAGAGGGACACAGAGACACAGAGAUUUAUCGGAAGGAAAGAACUAUGGGAAAAGAAGUCAGAAAUUGGUUGCUUCUAAGGGUAGUAUGUGGGACUGGAUUUGAAAAGGACAUGAGAGAAUUUUCUGGAAUGAUAUAUACAACAGUCCAUUCUCGUCAAACUGAGCACUUAUGAACUAAGUAUUUUGUUUGUAUAAAAGUAUGUCUUAAUAAAAAUGAGAACACUGUAAGAAAGAAAAAGGGAAUUAAUGCUAGGAUUGGUACCAUUAAUAAAUAUAACAUGAAUAUACAAAAUAGAAGCACAUAUAUUCAAAAUAAAUAAGCCCAGGAAAAAUGCCCUCUAGAGCCCAUUUGACAAAGGUAAAUAUGCUACCUAAGAAAGGGUUUAAAUGCAGACAAAUGAAAAUUUGUCUUUGUUUUUUUUAAAGGCAUUAUUAGAAAUGCAUCUAUUUCUUUGUCACUUUAAAUAAUUCCUGUUCAUAGCAGCCUUUUACAAUGCAAUGUGAUAGGUAGUGGUUCAGUUAGCUCCUUCACAGAGUCGUCGAGAAAGCAGGCUCACAAAGAGCAGGUGUAUUUUUCAGGAUGUGGGGGAUGGUUUUCUAGGUUUCAGGAUGACCUUUUCUCACUUUGCCACACGGGCCCACGGUGUCAGAGAUUCUUACAUUUGCCCCUUUACACAUCCAUGCCCACUAAGCACUGUUACUAGAAUACUGAAGAGGCUGAGUUCUUCUGGCACUUAACAGAGUUGUAACCUCACUGGUUGCUCUGUGAAGCGCUUACAGUAUAGCCACAGCCCUGGUGCUCUUAGAACUCUCCCAUCAGGGACAUUCUGUCCACUCACACAGCAGAACAGAGGAAUCAAAGCAAGUCUCAGGCAGAGCAGGGAGGGCUGCCACAUCACAUGGCUUCAUCAUCAAUGCAGAAGGAGUGCUUAGGAGACCAGAGCACCACGGAGGAGAAACUGCUUCAAUGGAGUGCAUGGGAAAGUACUAGCACUGUCUCAUGGAUUUUCAUGGUAUAGGCCAAUCAUCUUGCUGAGGUGAUGUAAAUGUAAAUGAGGUGAUAUGGUGUCUCUUUUGUGAGACUGAGAGAAUUAGACAACACAGGGCAAGCUCAGGUCCCACCUGCUCUCAUAAGAUUCACUGUUCUGAGGACAGGCAUUACACACCCCAGUCCCGGCCAAUAUGGCUUCCCUUUUGUUUUACGAUUUGCUCCUCUAGAUCUGAGUUGUCAAUGUAGACAAUCUAGACUACAUAAGUUCCAGUGAGUCCCAAUGAAUCCAGAUUCAUUCCUGAAUACAUAAUGAGUACAACAAGGAUUUGAACGUAUCACUGUGUUCCAACACCUGAACAAAGGAGGAAGGGAAUCCUGGGAAAGGAGGAAAGAGGCCACCAAAAAAUAUCUCUGAUGAAUGUGGUAGCACACAUUGGCAAUGCCAGUGCUCAGAAGUCUGAGACAGGGGAUCAAGAGUUCAGAGCCAGCCUAGUCACCUCUUUCUGGUGACUAUUUUGAGACUGGGAUAACAGCAUCAUAUAUGAGAAGCUGCAGUUUUUAUUUCAUGAUUUAUAGAUGUUACAAGUGAAGUUCAGAAAAAUAAAGAAACCAGCAAGCUGUGUGGCCGAACUUUGCGCUCUCUCUGGUCUGGCUCAGUCCUCCCUGGUCCGUACCCUCCUGAGUCAACUCGCUGUUUAAAUAAUGCCUUAGCAGAUGUGUUGCUCAGCCUUGCAGUGAUUACCACAUUUAUGCUUGUCUCAGAGUGAAGUGCAGAGUAUUUGUGGGAGAACAAACAUCAGUUAUUCUUGUUGACAUAAUAAUGGAGAUGUAGGACUGGAAAUCUAGCCUAAAGUUACAACUGAUGCUUGUAGUGAGCUUUUAGAUAUUUAGAUAAGAUCCUAUGAAAGCACCAAUAAAGACAGUUUCUUGUUUAUGCUGGCUGCUUUGGAGUCUAAAGAGACACAGUGAAGUUGUCAUGCCUUUUGUUACUUGUCAGGGUACCUUUCCCAGAGAAUUUUAAUCUAAAGGAAAAACGUCCCUGGUGAUUCUCGCCAACUUCAAAGACAAAAGUGUGAAUGCUACUGAAAACUGUCACUCCCUAUUCUGACUUCAAAUCUCAGCAUCUGAGAAGAAAUUAGAUUUCUAAUUUUUGAAUGGGUGAUGAGAGCCACCAGCAUGGAUGGAACAGUUUCCGCGUCAGGGACCAAUUUUCAGGGACCAAUGUUGUUUCUAGAUUAUUCUGGAAGAAAAGGCAGUAUGGAUCACAAUUGGCUAAACCAAGCUCUUUGGUAUUACCAAUUGUGCUAGAUGACUAAGAUCACCAUUGCUUCAGAGGAAAGACAUGGUUCAGUAAUGUCAGAAUGUUUGUGGAUGGUCCUUCAGAAAAUGCCACAAAGUCCUUUUCCUUCUAGAAUCUCUUAUGUCAGCUGUAAACUGAAUAAUGGAAACUAGUAAUAGAAUAAUGGAGUUAGAAUACUGAAACAAACAAACAAAGACCCCAGAAACUAUCUUUUUAGAUAAAGUUUUUAGAAUAAACGACCUAAAAUACUUAUGAUGAUAUGCUAAUAUAAAAGUAUUUCACAAAUCUUGUUUGCUAAGAAUAUUGGGCAUCAUUAGAAGCUGUUAUUAGCCAUAAGCGACCUGACCAAAAAAGACUUGGCCCAGGCCACUAGAGAUAGUACCGCUCAUAAAAGUAUUAAAAGUAUUCAGCAUAUGAGGAGUCUGCAUGCAACAAUCCAUGUCCCUAGGCUGGUCCAUCCCUUCAUGUUCCAGACAUGGAGCUUCCCCCUCUUCUAAACUGCCAAAGGGAAAAGGAUCUCCUGGAUUUGUUACAUCUCGAUUCCCUGUCUUGAUUCUUAGACAAUAAUGUUUUUUUUUAAUUUCCUAAAUCAGGCUUCUUUUUCCCAAAGUAGUAGGUCUGCAAUGUGGGGUUUGCAUAGGAUUUAAAUAAUAGAAUUUAGAUAGUAUAUCAAAAAACUAGUGACCAAGCAAGGCCAUGAAAUCUAGAAAUAGACGAGACACUUCAUGAACUCAAUGCCAUUGUGUGAAGAUAAUAAAAAAUAAUUACUCCUUAA